UACGAAGGGUGCAAGCGUUAAUCGGAAUUACUGGGCGUAAAGCGUGCGUAGGCGGUUGUUUAAGUCUGCUGUGAAAUCCCCGAGCUCAACUUGGGAAUUGCAAUGGAUACUGGCAGGCUGGAGUAUGGUAGAGGAAGGUGGAAUUCCCGGUGUAGCAGUGAAAUGCGUAGAGAUCGGGAGGAACACCAGUGGCGAAGGCGGCCUUCUGGACCAAUACUGACGCUCAUGCACGAAAGCGUGGGGAGCAAACAGG
rnacentral:rRNA from 1 species